UCCUUAGCAUCGAGACAAGUCGUUUUAUCCUCACGUAUUAUUUUCAAUACCCUAUCUAUGGCUAAUUCUUCACAGUUCAUCGGCUUUCCAAUUUUACCCUCUACAUCUCACGCCCAAACACACCACACUCCCACAGAGCAAAUCCAUUCCCUCACCGGCCGCAAGAUUCGUUCCCCUUUCACCGGCAGUAACGGUGACAAAGUGAUCGACUGGUAUCAACAGGUUCAAAGCACCAUGGAUCCAUAUUGCACCUCGUCGUAGAUGGGCUUUCACACUGCCUCCACUUCCAACCCCUCACCAAGCUCGCCCCAAGCACCUAGGAGGAGGACUGCCCAGUGGACACCCCAAGAUAACCGAGUCUUCAUUGUUGCCUGUAAGACCGUCAUAGCCAAUGAGCACCGUAAUGGGAAGUGCUUCACGAAACAUGGCCGGCACACACUUAUCCAAUUGUUCAACACCAACUCCGGGCACGAUUAGAGUAGGCAGCAAUUGAAGAAUUACUAGAAUUAUCUUUGACUCAAGCAUAAACGUCUCCAGGAGUUGCUAGACUGCACCAGCAUUGCAUACAACUCUGCACGAGGAUGCCUAGUCACCUCCGAGAGUGGUGGACGCGAAAUAUUAAGGAGAACAAUGAGUACAGGGAGUUCAAAGACAAAGACUAUAGAGAGAUAUACGCUUAUCAGGUUCUAUUCGGCAAUGCAUUUGACAAUGAAAAGUAUGCGAUGACGUCGACGAAGCUGUGCAGGACCAACUUCACCGUGUUUGAAGAUAGUGCAAAUGACAAUCCACGGAACGCAACGUCGAUAUAUGAGGAGAACAGUGGCUCUAGUGAUGAGAAAGACAAAUUAGACAAAUCUGCAUCAAGCAUGGACACCCAGCCAUAGGAGUGGAGAGAAACAUAGACCCGCCUAAAGUAAAAAUAAGGAGAAGAGAACUAAAAUAUCAGCAAGGGAUUUGUCGUACUCAGUUGAUCGAGCCAUGACUGCAAGUGAGAAAAUAGCAACAACACUUGACAACUUAGUCAGAUCCAAUGUGUCGGACAUGAAGACAUUCAUGAAGGAGUUGUUCGCGACAGGCAGACUGCAUAAAAAAUUGACCCCUACUUUAAGACGUGCAUGUUUCUAUCUUUAAAGAGAAAUAGGGAGGCUCUGGAGAUGAUGCGAAUGAAAAGAUGGAUUGGUUGGAGUGGAAUUGGCAAGAGCACAGGAAAGCGCGACCGUAGUGAAGACUGUGUAUGGGGUAGAAUAAAUUUUCCCCACAGCGGAGGAUCUCCACAAAAAUUAUUGUUGGGCUUUUUUCUUUUUCCGUUUCUCGGUAUGUGGUUUGUUAACCUUACAAUUUCGAGUUGUGUACUUUUUAAGAUUUUAUGUAUCCAUAUAUGUACCACCUACUGUGAUUUCAUGUCUAUGUAUACCCACUUGUUCCUUGGACUUA